CGUGCACGCUGGCGGUAGGCCUAACACAUGCAAGUCGAACGGCAGCACAGUAAGAGCUUGCUCUUACGGGUUGCGAGUGGCGGACGGGUGAGGAAUACAUCGGAAUCUACUUUUUCGUGGGGGAUAACGUAGGGAAACUUACGCUAAUACCGCAUACGACCUACGGGUGAAAGCAGGGGAUCUUCGGACCUUGCUCGAUUGAAUGAGCCGAUGUAGGAUUAGCUAGUUGGCGGGGUAAAGGCCCACCAAGGCGACGAUCCGUAGCUGGUCUGAGAGGAUGAUCAGCCACACUGUAACUGAGACACGGUCCAGACUCCUACGGGAGGCAGCAGUGGGGAAUAUUGGACAAUGGGCGCAAGCCUGAUCCAGCCAUACCGCGUGGGUGAAGAAGGCCUUCGGGUUGUAAAGCCCUUUUGUUGGGAAAGAAAAGCAGCAGGUUAAUACCCCGCUGUUCUGACGGUACCCAAAGAAUAAGCACCGGCUAACUUCGUG
rnacentral:rRNA from 1 species